CCCACCUCAGGGAUGCUGGGCGCUGCUGGCUGCCUUCUGCCCCGGCGCAAACUUCGCCAAGGGAGAAGCGGGCUGCGGCGAGCAGCACCCGGGAAACCUCGCAGCCCUGGUAAGGUCGAGGAGGCAGCGCCAGGCGUCGCCCUGAGCCGACCCGGGCUGCCCCCGCAGAGGUUCGGGGCCAGGGCCAGGAGGGAGCUGAAGAUCUACAACACGUAUAUUCAAAUCUGCUGGGGUAAAAGUUGAAACUUAACAAAAGGAUACACUUCUUUUCUCAGCGUAACGUGACAUUUUAAAAACAACACAGAGGGAAAACUAAAUAAUAUUUCGAAGCAUUGCUGUCCAGCGAAACACAACGAUCAGAAAAUAAAGAUUUCCCUUGUUGACCAGAACGCUCGGAGUUAAAUAUUUCUCACACUAGGAAUUCCAGGUCUUGUCAUCAGGGGAUGGCGCAGGGGCGGCAGUUACUUGUCAAACUAAAAAGUGAUGCGUCGGGACGAUUUUGCUGGGAAUACAGAAGAUGUGAAUCUUAACUGAGCAUUUUUAAAGGCGGUAAGAAUAACGUCUUCCUGGAAGGACAUGUCUGGUUACUAACCUUGCUAAUACCAUUUCUACGUUUACAAAAUCGUUGUAAAUCCGGCAAGAGAUUAAACACCGUUAUGUAAAUAAAAAGGAGGAAACAA